GAUGAACGCUGGCGGCGUGCCUAAUACAUGCAAGUCGAGCGAACAGACGAGGAGCUUGCUCCUCUGACGUUAGCGGCGGACGGGUGAGUAACACGUGGAUAACCUACCUAUAAGACUGGGAUAACUUCGGGAAACCGGAGCUAAUACCGGAUAACAUGUUGAACCGCAUGGUUCAACAGUGAAAGACGGUUUUGCUGUCACUUAUAGAUGGAUCCGCGUCGCAUUAGCUAGUUGGUAAGGUAACGGCUUACCAAGGCAACGAUGCGUAGCCGACCUGAGAGGGUGAUCGGCCACACUGGAACUGAGACACGGUCCAGACUCCUACGGGAGGCAGCAGUAGGGAAUCUUCCGCAAUGGGCGAAAGCCUGACGGAGCAACGCCGCGUGAGUGAAGAAGGUCUUCGGAUCGUAAAACUCUGUUAUUGGGGAAGAACAAAUGUGUAAGUAACUAUGCACGUCUUGACGGUACCUAAUCAGAAAGCCACGGCUAACUACGUG
rnacentral:rRNA from 1 species